rnacentral:lncRNA from 1 species
UGUGGUGUACACUUUUGAAAAUAUUACCCAGAAUGCAAUAGAUUCUGAAACGGCGAAUUGAUGUGGCUGUGUAUUCAUGUAUCCCGAACAGUGUAAUGGUCGCUGCUUUAUAUUCUGAGCUUUACAGAUUGAUUGUUGCUGUAAGCAGCAUCAGCACAAAAAGGCGGCGACAGCUAUUUCAAAUAUUAUGUUAAAAAAAAAACAAUUAUAAAAAGUAGACAAACUGUCCAUUUACUUUCCCUUUAUGUAGAUCCCAUACCGCUGACUAUGCGAUAUGGGCUGUGCUCAUUGUUGAAGGCCG